rnacentral:tRNA from 1 species
AGGCGCGUGGCUCAGGGGUAGAGCGCUUCGUUGACACCGAAGAGGUCGAUGGUUCAAUUCCAUCCGCGCCUACCA